rnacentral:rRNA from 1 species
GACGAACGCUGGCGGCGUGCUUAACACAUGCAAGUCGAACGGAAAGGCCCCUUUGGGGGUACUCGAGUGGCGAACGGGUGAGUAACACGUGAGUAACCUGCCCUUGACUUCGGGAUAACUUCAGGAAACUGGGGCUAAUACCGGAUAGGAAUCCUUGCUGCAUGGUGGGGGUUGGAAAGCUUCGGCGGUUUUGGAUGGACUCGCGGCUUAUCAGCUUGUUGGUGGGGUAGUGGCUUACCAAGGCGUUGACGGGUAGCCGGCCUGAGAGGGCGACCGGCCACAUUGGGACUGAGAUACGGCACAGACGCCGACGGGAGGCAGCAGUGGGGAAUAUUGCACAAUGGGCGGAAGCCUGAUGCAGCAACGCCGCGUGCGGGAUGACGGCCUUCGGGUUGUAAACCGCUUUCAGCAGGGGCGAAGCUUGUGGUGACGGUACCUGCAGAAGAAGCACCGGCUAACUACGUG